rnacentral:rRNA from 1 species
AUUGAACGCUGGCGGCAGGCCUAACACAUGCAAGUCGGACGGUAACGGGAUGAUGCUUUCUUCUUUGCCAACGAGUGGCGGACGGGUGAGUAAUGUCUGGGAAACCCCCCGCUGGAGGGGGAUAACCACUGGAAACGGUGGAUACUACCGCAUAAUGUCUUCGGCCCAAUGUGGGGGGCCUACUGGCCUCACACCAUCGGAUGUUCCCAGCCGGGAUUAGCUUGUAGGUGAGAUAAAGGCUCACCUAGGCGAGGAUCGCUAGCUGGUCUGAGAGGAUGACCAGCGACACUGGAGCUGAGACACGGUCCAGACUCCUGCGGGAGGCAGCAGUGGGGAAUAUUGCACAAUGGGCGCGAGCCUGAUGCAGCCAUGCCGCGUGUAGGAAGAAGGCGUUCGGGUUGUAAAGUACGUUCAGCGGGGAGGAAGGGAUGAGGUUUAAUACGCAGCGUCAUUGACGUUACCCGGAGAAGAAGCACCGGCUAACUCCGUG